AGAACAUGGGAGUGCAAGGGCACAUUCUGUAUUCUUGAUAUAAUGGUUUCAAGCCUUUUGAUGGAAGCUCCUGUAUCUUCCUAGCAAGGCUGAUGGACUCUGGUGCUUGGUUUAUUAGGUGAUAACUAAAACGAACAUUCUUUGGCUGACAUUUGAAGUAAGAUUAAAAACAACCUACAGAAC